GACGAACGCUGGCGGCGUGCUUAACACAUGCAAGUCGAACGAUGAAGCUGGAGCUUGCUCCGGUGGAUUAGUGGCGAACGGGUGAGUAACACGUGAGCAAUCUGCCCUUGACUCUGGGAUAACUGCGGGAAACUGUAGCUAAUACCGGAUAUGAGGCUUGGCGGCAUCUCUAGGUCUGGAAAGCAUUUCGGUCAAGGAUGAGCUCGCGGCCUAUCAGCUAGUUGGUGAGGUAAUGGCUCACCAAGGCGACGACGGGUAGCCGGCCUGAGAGGGUGACCGGCCAAACUGGGACUGAGACACGGCCCAGACUCCUACGGGAGGCAGCAGUGGGGAAUAUUGCACAAUGGGCGAAAGCCUGAUGCAGCAACGCCGCGUGAGGGAUGAAGGCCUUCGGGUUGUAAACCUCUUUUAGCAGGGAAGAAGCGAAAGUGACGGUACCUGCAGAAAAAGCACCGGCUAACUACGUGCCAGCAGCCGCGGUAA
rnacentral:rRNA from 1 species